UAUUCAGAAUGUAAAGUUUUUGAUUAGCUCUUCCCCCACCCCCUUUGCAAUCUUGUAUCUCAGUGUCACCUUCAGCUGUGUUUAGUGCUUCUUGAACACAAGACUUGCCCUUUCACUUUCAUUGGAGAAUAAAAUUCUGGCUGCCUGAAUCUCUGCAAGGGACUAGGGUAAGGCGGUAUAUGAAUGUUAUCUAAAAUUUCAAGUCUCUCUCAUGCUGUUUUCCUUUAAGCCUCAUCCUUUGCCAUGUUUCAGAGCUGCUCUGAGUUCUCUAGGACAAACUUCUUAAUUUGUACCCUCUUGGGCAUAUAUUUUAGGUUUAAACUCUUCCUUAAAUCACAGUUGUCACCACUCCCCUAUCUGCUUUACAUUUUCCUAAAAUGUGAACAAGCCUCUCCAUUUCCUUGCUAGAUCAUACCUUUUCUAUGCCUUUCCCUAUUCUUUUAUCGAAGGAGAUGAGAGAAUAUAUUCAAUCCAUCAUUUUAGCUGCUAGGCAACUUUUGGAAAAGAAGAAAGAUAAGGAGAUUGUAAAAAUACUUUUUUUUUCUUACCAGAUAUUGGAGUUGAUAAUGAAAUCAAAAUUCUAAAGACUGCUUUUUUUUCUUAAAGUUGCUUUUAUAACCAGUAGAAGGUAAAAUUAGGUCUGUGAACUGAGUGAGCUGCAUGUCAUCUCUUUGCAUUUCAGUUUCCCCACCCAUCAAAUAAUUGGAUAAGACUGAGUAACAUGUUCUCCAAUCUAAGUGGUUAUUAGAAUUAUCUUGGUUGCUUGUUUAUAACCCAGAUCCAUGUGCCAAAAGGUCAAAGAUUUGGAUUCCAUAGGUCUGAUGUAGAAAGUGUGAGGCUAAAUAGUUCCUUUGGGCUCCUGACACUUGGAUAUCUUAGUGAGUCUGUGAAUUUCAUUUCUAUUCUUUGAUUUCCUUUUUAACUGGGAACUCUUUUAUGAAGGAUAAAUAUGCCAAAUAUUUCAAUAAUUGCGCCCCAUUUAGAGCUUUAAACUGAGCUUCAAUAUUGCACAAAAUAGGUCAUAAAUUAUUAACAAGUGGAAGCAUAUAGUUGAUAUAGUAUCUGGGAGGAGCAGGGUGGGGUAAGGGAGAGGAUGAUAAGUAAUUUUUUAAAAAUCCAUAUUUUAUAUGUGAAAAGUAGAAUACUUCUUUUCAUAUAAGAACCUAAAAUUAAAUGCUACAACUUUUUUCUUAUGUUACAUGAUAUUUAGGAAAUAGAAUUUAUUCUCAGAACACAGAAAUCUCACUGGUCAGGGCAGGGAACAUGGUGUCAUGAGAUUUUCAGAUUUAUCCAAAGGGAACAUGGGUUUUAAGAGAUUGCAAAGCACUGCAGUGGUGAGAUGGAUCAUUUCUGAAGAAAAGUGAGAAAAGAAAACCAUUAAGUUCAACUGUCACUCUUCCAACUGAAUACUGAAACCACUUGGGAAAAAGUUUUGAGUGAGGUUUACAGUCAGAAGCAAUGCUGGUGUUUUUGAGGUUUGCUUGUGAAUUGCCAUUUAGCUGUACUACAGACUUCCUAGAGAUGUGGUUAAUUGCCAUAGUUUGAAGCUUUCAAAAGUGUUAAUUUGCUGUUACAUGGGGCUAACUUAUUAAAGGGUUCUGUACAUUUGGAUUAGUGGAUUUAUGUGUUGCAUUAUGGCUUGGUGAACAGAGAACUCAAGAGGCUGGGACUUCCAUUCUACUUUCACAAUGACGUGGUGUAUGAGCUGCAACAGGUCACUGAGUAUUUUAUCUUUAAGUCUUUGUAUAUCCUAUAGUGCAUGUGAGGGUGAUUUGGCUCAAUUUUGUCACCCCUGGACCACCAAAGUUCGUUUGGCCGAUUGACUUACUUGGCCGAUAAGAAAUUUCAGGGCCAGGAAUUGACCCUGUCCUACAACAUGACAAUGCUGGAUCCUUAACCCAUUGCACCACAAGGGAACUCCAAGAUGGACGAAGAUGAGCGGUGAGCUGUGCUGGCAAAAGAAGACCUCAAAUGCAAAUCCUGCAUAGAUGUUCUAGGACCCUGCUUUAGGAUGUGGGGAUACUGGCAGUAUGUAAAACCUUGGCCAAGCCUGAGAUAGGAAGAGUCCUAUUUAACACCUUGCUGUUUCACAUAAAAUUGCAAAAAGACCCCAGUGGUGGAUGAGAUAAGAAAACACACCACAUAUUAAUAGAGACUAUCUUUUAAUACUUCUUUUAUUUUUCCCUUUUUGGCCAUCCCUUGGCAUAUGGAGUUCCCAGGCCAGGGAUCAGAUCUGAGCCACAGUUGUGACCUAUACUGCAGCUAUGACCUAUGCCACAGCUGCAGCAAUGCCAGAUCCUUUAACCCUCUGCACUGGGCUGGGGAUUAAAUCUGUGUCCCAGCGCUCCAUAAAUACCACCAAACCCACCGUGCCACAGCGGAAACUCUGGGACUAUCUUUGAAUGAUAGAAUCAUUGGUGAUUUUUCUUGCAUUAUAACUUUAAUAUUUUAUAAAAUGGAUUCAUUCAUUCAUGUAUAAAAAUAUUUUAAAAAAUAAGACCAAAAGAAUCCUACCAAUUGUCAAGAUCUAACUCAAAUGCCAUCUCUUUCAUGAUGCCUUUUCAGAUUACCCAGCUAGAAAUACUUUUUUUUCUUUCUUCUUUAACAAUAAUUACAGUUAUUAUAACAUUAUUUAAUCUUUACAGUCACCCCAUUAACUAAUCUUUUGCUCUUCCUGUUUUACAGAUGAGGAAACUAAGCUUAGAAAAGUAAAACGUUGCAUAACUCACCUAAUACUACAAGCUGGUAAAUGACAGAGCUGUCACUCAAACCAUCUCUUCAGUUUAUUUCUAACCUCCCACUGUGCUGGCCACUGGGCACCUGGAACUUAAUCAUGUUUUAGGUGAAAUUAAACAUUAGUAAGACAUAUUUCCUUCAUUUGCAUAGUUUUCCCCAACUAAAUUAUAAACAACUUUUAGAGAAUUAGACUAUCAAGCUUCCUUUAAAUAGCUUUAUGAAGGGCCACAAGGUAGGUAGCUUGUUGAAAUAGUGCUCAGGUGAAAUAAGAUGGUAGACACAUAAGUUAAAUAUAAACAUUAACUAAAUCAUAGUUUCUAUUAUCAUAACUACUGAACAUUAUUUUGUAAUACAAUAUCAUAAAUCAUUAAGAUUAUCUGGCAUGUAAAUGCUGACAUGAAGAUACAUACUUAAAUAGAUGAUCUCCUGCCUAAAUUUUAGUGUCAUCAGUAUUCAAGCAAAAGGAGGGGCAAUUAAUUCAUACUACGAAGAAAGAUGUUGUUAGAUAUACUGAACUGAUUUUAAGACAAAAUUAUCAUGUGAAUUCAGCCAGUCCAUUGCGGCAAACUGUCUUAAAUGCACACUCAACAGUAAUGACAGAGCCCAUGAUGGUUGAAAAAAGGAAAAGUAAUAGCUAGGGAGGCACAGGCCCUGGCAGUGGGGGAGUGGGGGUGGGGUGUCCAUGCCAGAUCCUUAAGUUUGGGGAAACAAGGGCAAGUGAGUCCUCAUUUGGUGAAGGAGAUGAGGCUCCCUGGAUGUGGCCAGGCUUGGUCAUAGUGGCUCAACAACUGGCAGAAUAGAGUGAAGAGGCUGGAAUUUUUCAAUCCUAUAAGUAUGUGGGGCUGGUAUAGACAGCAACUGGUACGUGUGCCAUGGAAAAGUCCUUCGUUUCUAUUACUGUGGCCAAAAUGGUUAUCUCGAGUCUUUUGGAAUAUCAGUAAGAACAGUCAAUGGUAAAACUCAAAGAGGGAGAUUUUGCACCAAUGAUGCUCAAAAAUGUCAUCCAUGGACAAACAUCAGUAUUAGCUGGGAGCUUACUGGAGAUGAAAAUUCUUGGUCCCUAACCCAGACCUAAUGAAUCAGAAUCUAUGGAGUUGGGACCCAAGAAUUCACAUUUUUAACCUGCUCCCUGGGGGAUUCUUUGCAUGUUAAAAUUUGAGAGGCACUUUACAACAACCCCACCACAUUCACCACCCUCACAACAGAAGAAGCCUCUUCAAGAAUCCAUUUAAGAUGAAAGUUCCUAACUUUGUGUUGUCCAAGGCAGUGGACACUUGCUAUAUGUGGCAAGUGAGCACUUGAAAUGUGCUUAUUUAUCUGAAUAAAGAUGUAUUGUAAGCGUAAACCCUGGAUUUCAAAGACUGAAAUACAUACUAUGUAUUUCAUGUAUUAAGUACAAAGAAAGAAUGAGAAAUACAUCAUUAAUAAUUUUUAUAUUGACCAAAUAUUGAAAUGAAAUACUUAGAUAUAUUGAAUUAAAUAAAAUGUAUUAUUAAUUUCACCUGUAUCUUUUACUCUAUUGGGGUUACUAGGACAUUUAAGCUUACAGAUGUGGCUUGUAUUAUAUUUCUGUACCCCAACAUUGUUCUAACGUAUCUCCUCAAAGGAUGAUUUCUUUCCUAGUCUACAUUUUCUAGUUAUAAACUAGCCAGGGCUCUUUUGAAACAAUAACACAAAACAGCAAAAACAGCAAUUGUUUCAUGUUUAAUGUGUGCCAGACCUUGUACUCAGCAUCUUGCACAGAUUAUUUCAUUUAAUCCAUACCAUAACUUAUGAAAUUAUUACCCCCAGUUUAAUGAGUAGGAAACAGAAGCUGAGAGAGUUUAAAUAACUUGCUCAAGGCUGCCAGGUGAUAUAUGACCAAGCCAGAACUCAGGCUAGAUCCAUCUGACCCCAAAUCACCUAUUUUUAUAGAUUUCCCUGUACUUCCUAUUAUAUAAUGUACUGGAAAAAGGGUCAUUUAUUUUUCAGUGAUAUUUGUGUACAUUAAGAUGAUGAGUAUAUUAAGUCUAAAUCAAGUAGAAGGAAAUCAUGAGAAAAUAUAAUGACAGAAUCAUCUCCAUGUGUGAUGUGUGAAUCCAGAGUUGUUCAAGAUUCAGGAAACUGGACAUGAUCUUCCUCAUUUUUGCCUCUGAUCAAUGGGUGGGCUUUUCAGUCAUUCCUAAUUAACAACUCAUAAACCUGGCCACAUGGCUUUAAAAAACCCUCUUAACUUAGUUGGCAGUUUCUAGAUCAGAAACAAACCAAGAAAAAGUUGCCACUUCAUAACUCCAUGAAAUCACGCCAUGUUAUAUCCUACCAAUUUAAGGCUCUGAACUAGCAUGGGUCACAGAGAGGCUAUUAAAAGGAGGGUAGAUUCUUUCAACUCUAUUCCCCAGAAUAUCUGUGAAUCUAUGAUGAAAAUGACAUUUAAAAAAUGGAAAACAGACAUAGCAUCAGUCUUUGUUUCAAUGCCUGGCCGAGGAGCCAGGAAGCUUGCCACCAAUAUAUCACUCAUUCUAACUGUUCUGUCAGUGCGUGUUAUUGUUCUUACACCACAUUGCCAGUGUGAACCUCAAAAACAUAGCCUGUUUAGAAAAAUCUUCAUAGAUGAGUAGAGUUUGCUUACUAACAUCUGUGAAAUGACCUAACACAAAAAAUCAGAAUAUGGAGCUAGGUACUGAAGGGCAGAAAGGAGAAAUUGCAAUGGUGUACCUCAUGACAUUGAAAUCUUUAAGCCUCUUCAUCAAGUGAGAUAGCACAGAUUUCUUUUUAUCAGUCCCAUAUUAAAUAGUACUGGUUAAUUACAAGGUCAACAAAAAUUAAUGUUCUGAGAGUUUAUAACCAAUAACCAACUUGAGUUGAUCACAGCUAAUCAGUCCCAAGCUAUUUACAACCUUCAUGGUGGUCUGUACAGACACUGGAGAAUGUUCCCUGCGGCUUUUAUGCCAAUUCUUUGUGGGUUUUAGAGCCAACUGGACCCUUUCCACCAAUGGCAUCAUCAAGGAUACUUAUACUUGGACAACAGAAUUUCAUCAACUGGAAUUUUGAAGAUUGUGUUUGUCUUCCUCACAAUGUUUAUUCUGUCCGACAUUACAAUCCAAGACUUCUCAGGUUCUGAGUUCAUUGACAAAGAUAUUUUUAAAAAUCUCAGCACUUUGCUUACAGAUUGCUCAAUCCAUAUACAUCUGUAAUACCAUCACUGUUCAAUAAAACAAGCCCAAUCUCUCCCAAAUCAACAGAGGUCAACUUCAAGAACAUAGUCCUCAAAGUUAAGGUUAUGAAUGUUUCUUCUGCAGUAAAGGCUGACUGAUAAGUCAUUUUUUGGAGACCCAACCAGCAGUGCUGGAGUUUUGGUGGGAAAUUACAGUACAGUUGACUCUUACACACUCUGCAGUGUACGGGCAGGGGGUGGGUAAGGGCACUGGCCCACCAUGCAGUUGAAAGUCCGCAGAUAACUUAAAGCUGGUUCUCUGUAUCUGUGGUUCCUCAUCUUUGCAGACAACCAACCCUGGACCGUGUAGUACUAUAGCAUUUACUGUUGAAAAAACCCCACAUUAUAUGAACCUACACAGUUCAAACCCGUGUUGUUCAAGGGUCAACUGUAGUUGUAUGCACAUAGAUCAUUUUUGCAGCUUAUGCUCAGGUGACUACUUAGAAGACACUGUCUCUGGACUUGUUUGAGAUCUUUUUUUUUUUUUUUAAUCAAGUCCUUAGGAAACCCAAAUUCUAAUUGCCACUUAGAGUUCCCAGAGCUUGAAUGUGCCAACUCCUAUAUUUUCAUAACUCACUCAGAAUCUUAUCUAAUAUAAAAUGCAAGGGAAUAAUGUCUAAUGACAGUUUUUUCCACCUGGUAAAUACUAGCUUUCACUUGCUUGAAAAUUUCAAGAUGAAGAGGGAACAAAGACGACUUCUUGAUAGCAGAAACUCAUGGAAACGUGACUCCUGCAGUCUAGCCAGUGGUUAAAAAGCAUCAUCAUGGGCUGUAGCCUUAGAACCAAAUUAAAACCAUCAGCUCAGCCUGACUGUGAUGUGGCCAUAACAUUUCACCACAUUAAAUGUGUGAUAACUGUGCAUGGGUAGGUAAUGUGAUUUGACAGUGUUCAUUGUCACCACAGAGCUGUCAUGUCUGAAUUGUUUUCUCAAUCCCAGAGAAUCCAUGUCCAUCAUGAGUCUCUAUUCUGGCCUAAUGUACUGUGGCAGUAAUAAUAUAUGUAGGCAUGGAAGAGUCCACGUCAGGGGAAGCAAACGAAUAUUUACUGAGUACUCACUAUGCCUCUGUGGCCAAGAGUUCUAAGGUGACCCCCAAUGGUCUCACGAUUCCUGAGUCCACUCCGUUGUGUCAUCUCCUUCCCUUGAGUAUGUGAAGGACUCAGGACUUGCUUCCUACCAAUGCAGUGUGUUGAAAGUGAUGGGAUGUCACACCCUUGAUUAGGUUACAUUACAUGACAAAGGUGACAGAUUGUCAUCCCUGUGAUUAGAUGAUGUUACAUAAGAUUCUUUCUUAGCAGAGAUUCUCCUUGUUGGCUUAAUGAAGUAAACUGUCAUUUUGAGUAAGCCUACAUGGCAGAAAAACAAGCAAACAAACAAACAAACAAAAAAAAAAAACAAGACAAACAAUCUAUGGGUGGUCUCUAGGACCUGCAUAUAAUCUCUAACAAAGAGCCAGGGCCCCCUCCAUCAUAUAGCCACAAGAAAAUGAAUUCUGCUGAUAACUUAAAUAAGCUUGGAAGCAGACCUCUUCCCCAGAUAGAAAUGUAGCUGGGCUGACAUCCUGAUCACAGCCAUGUGCCAUCCUGAGCAGAAGAUCAUUAUAAGAUGUCCUUGGACUUCUGACCUGUGGAAACUGUGAGAUAGCAAAUAUAUGAGUUGUUUCGGCUGCCCUAUUUGUGGUACUUUGUGAUGGCAAUAGUGGAAAAUGAACACAUCGCCAUCAACCGUGCUUCUGUUUUGCAUGCUCCACCUUGUUUCAUCACCUCAGAAACCUAGAAACUAUGAUCACUAGGCAGGACAUAAACUUUAACAGGUUUUGCCUUUGUCUUAAGAAAAUAGUCACACAGGUUUUCAGGGUUCUUGUCCAUGAAUUGAGGCGAACCUGCCUUGAUAUCCUGCAUCUAAAUUAUGAGAGUGAACCAUCUUUAAAAUGGCUCAAUACAAACCCUGCCCAGGGCUUUCACCACAUCGCUCCCCACUCACCAAGCCAUUCACCUGACAACUUCUGCUGCAAGUACCUGUAUGCAAAGUUCUGGGAAAUGAUGUUUCUGGGAGCAUCCCUCAGCCAGUGGUGGAUGGAGCUAGAAGAGAAAGCCCUGCUUCCGUGGUCCUCAAGUGAAGCUGUUCCAAAGAGUGCUCUACACCAUUUCCCACACAUCCUCAGUGGGAUUGAGACCCAGUUGCCCACAGUGGUAAUUCACCCCUUAACACACCCUUUUAAUGACUUCUUCCUGGACUUGAUUCCCAACUCUUACCUUGACUCUCCUCUCAAAAUAAAUGGUUUGAACUACUUCUUUUCUUGUCACUCCUUCUGUGUGAAGUCAACCAAAGAGGUAGGGGCACUUCACAGUGGAUGGAAAUUUGGUAGAAACCCAAUCAAGAAGGACAAAAACAAGUAUGUAGAUUAUCUUAAAGAGUGCCCUUAAGAAUGUUCUAGGAAAAGUGCAUGUAAAGGAGAAAGAAAGUGCUCAGAAAUGACUGCAUAUAUUUGUCAAACUCCAUAUUGACUAGCCAAGUUUGAUGAGUAACUGGAGCCCCAAAUUCUUUAACACUGGGAAGGCAGUGUGCUGGAUGGUUUGCACUGAUGUUCACUGAAUACAUGUCUCCCCUGUUGCGAAAUCACAGGCCAGCAUUCUGAUUAUACAUCAAUCUCUUGAGUUUGGUUUGUGUAAGUUGGUCUCAAAAGUCCUGUCAGCUCCAACAACAAUCAAUGAUUAUUAAAUUUAUUGUGGUGAUCAUUUCAUAAUAUAUACAAAUAUAAAAUCAUUGUAUUAUACACCUGAAACUAAUAUAAUAUUGUACAUCAGUUAUACUUUAACAAAGUAAAAGAAUCAGACUCUGGAACUCCCCAGAUGUCUCUCUCUGGGCAAGCAGGCAGAUUUCUUUUAUUUAUUUAUCACUUGCCUCAAUAAUUCUCAUUAUGCAAUCAAAACCACAUGAAUCCCAGUUAUACCUUGAGAAAUAGAGCAAUUUUGUUUAUGUUUCAGCAUGAAGGAAUACUAGAAAGAAUAUCACUAAGUGAAUAAAAUAUAUGUCCAAUAUGGACAAAUAAGAAGGAGAAAAUUCUUGUUUUCAUGUUCCCCUUCUGCAUGUGCAGCUCAGUAUAGGGAAUCCUUGUUCACUGCAGCUUUGGGUCCUCACUAAUCUCAACAAUCAGUCCUAUUUCUUUUAAUUUUCAAAAUAAUGUCCUUUAAAAAAGUACAGACUUGUGUGGUUGCCAAGGGGGAAGUUAUUAGGAAAGCAAUGGAGUGGGAGGUUGGGGUUAGCAGAU